AUUGAACGCUGGCGGCAGGCCUAACACAUGCAAGUCGAGCGGUAGAGAGGUGCUUGCAUCUCUUGAGAGCGGCGGACGGGUGAGUAAUGCCUAGGAAUCUGCCUAGUGGUGGGGGAUAACGUUCGGAAACGGACGCUAAUACCGCAUACGUCCUACGGGAGAAAGCGGGGGAUCUUCGGACCUCGCGCCAUUAGAUGAGCCUAGGUCGGAUUAGCUAGUUGGUGAGGUAAUGGCUCACCAAGGCGACGAUCCGUAACUGGUCUGAGAGGAUGAUCAGUCACACUGGAACUGAGACGCGGUCCAGACUCCUACGGGAGGCAGCAGUGGGGAAUAUUGGACAAUGGGCGAAAGCCUGAUCCAGCCAUGCCGCGUGUGUGAAGAAGGUCUUCGGAUUGUAAAGCACUUUAAGUUGGGUAGGAAGGGUAGUAACC
rnacentral:rRNA from 1 species